rnacentral:rRNA from 1 species
UGAGGAAUAUUGGUCAAUGGACGCAAGUCUGAACCAGCCAAGUAGCGUGCAGGAUGACGGCCCUAUGGGUUGUAAACUGCUUUUAUAUGGGGAUAAAGUGGGGAACGUGUUCCCUUUUGCAGGUACCAUAUGAAUAAGGACCGGCUAAUUCCGUGCCAGCAGCCGCGGUAAUACGGAAGGUUCGGGCGUUAUCCGGAUUUAUUGGGUUUAAAGGGAGCGUAGGCCGUUUGGUAAGCGUGUUGUGAAAUGUAGGAGCUCAACUUCUAGAUUGCAGCGCGAACUGUCAGACUUGAGUGCGCACAACGUAGGCGGAAUUCAUGGUGUAGCGGUGAAAUGCUUAGAUAUCAUGAAGAACUCCGAUGGCGAAGGCAGCUUACGGGAGCGCAACUGACGCUGAAGCUCGAAGGUGCGGGUAUCGAACAGG